GUGAGGAAUAUUGGUCAAUGGACGAGAGUCUGAACCAGCCAAGUCGCGUGAAGGAAGACGGUUCUAUGAAUUGUAAACUUCUUUUGUGCAGGAAUAAAGUGGGUUACGUGUAACCUUUUGUAUGUACUGUACGAAUAAGGAUCGGCUAACUCCGUGCCAGCAGCCGCGGUAAUACGGAGGAUCCGAGCGUUAUCCGGAUUUAUUGGGUUUAAAGGGUGCGUAGGUGGAUUGAUAAGUCAGCGGUGAAAGUUUGCAGCUUAACUGUAAAAUUGCCGUGGAAACUGUCGGUCUUGAGUGCAAAUGAGGUAGGCGGAAUGUGUUGUGUAGCGGUGAAAUGCUUAGAUAUAACACAGAACUCCGAUUGCGAAGGCAGCUUACUGGGAUGUAACUGACACUGAUGCACGAAAGCGUGGGUAUCAAACAGGAUUAGAAACCCCAGUAGUCC
rnacentral:rRNA from 1 species